UAGGGAAUCUUCCGCAAUGGACGCAAGUCUGACGGAGCAACGCCGCGUGAGUGAAGAAGGAUUUCGGUUCGUAAAACUCUGUUGUUAGAGAAGAACAGCGCAUAGAGUAACUGUUAUGCGUGUGACGGUAUCUAACCAGAAAGCCACGGCUAACUACGUGCCAGCAGCCGCGGUAAUACGUAGGUGGCAAGCGUUGUCCGGAUUUAUUGGGCGUAAAGCGAGCGCAGGCGGUCAAUUAAGUCUGAUGUGAAAGCCCCCGGCUCAACCGGGGAGGGUCAUUGGCAACUGGUUGACUUGAGUGCAGAAGAGGAGAUUGGAAUUCCAUGUGUAGGGGUGAAAUGCGUAGAUAUAUGGGGGAACACCAGUGGCGAUGGCGACUUUCUCGUCUGUACCAGACGCUGAGGCUCGAAAGCGUGCGUAGCAAACUCG
rnacentral:rRNA from 1 species